rnacentral:rRNA from 1 species
GAUCCUGGCUCAGGACGAACGCUGGCGGCGCGCCUAACACAUUCAAGUCGAACGAGAGAGAAGGAGCUUGCUUCUUCGAUCGAGUGGCGAACGGGUGAGUAACGCGUGAGGAACCUACCUCAAAGAGGGGGACAACAGUUGGAAACGACUGCUAAUACCGCAUAAGCCCACGGGUCGGCAUCGACCUGAGGGAAAAGGAGCAAUCCGCUUUGAGAUGGCCUCGCGUCCGAUUAGCUAGUUGGUGAGG